CCUACGGGCGGCAGCAGUGAGGAAUAUUGGUCAAUGGACGAAAGUCUGAACCAGCCAAGCCGCGUGAAGGAAGACGGCUCUAUGGGUUGUAAACUUCUUUUGUACGAGAAUAAAACCAGCUACGUGUAUCUGUCUGCGAGUACCUUACGAAUAAGGAUCGGCUAACUCCGUGCCAGCAGCCGCGGUAAUACGGAGGAUCCAAGCGUUAUCCGGAUUUAUUGGGUUUAAAGGGUGCGUAGGCGGUUUGAUAAGUUAGAGGUGAAAUUUCGGGGCUCAACCCCGGAAUUGCCUUUGAUACUGGUAGUCUAGAGUUGAGUAGAGGUAGGCGGAAUGCGUGGUGUAGCGGUGAAAUGCUUAGAGAUCACACAGAACACCGAUUGCGAAGGCAGCGUACC
rnacentral:rRNA from 1 species